GAUGAACGCUAGCGGCAGGCUUAACACAUGCAAGUCGAGGGGUAUAGUUCUUCGGAAUUAGAGACCGGCGCACGGGUGCGUAACGCGUGUGCAAUCUACCUUUCACAGAGGGAUAGCCCCAGAGAAAUUUGGAUUAAUACCUCAUAGUAUAGCAGUUUCGCAUGAAACCACUAUUAAAGUCACAACGGUGAAAGAUGAGCAUGCGUCCCAUUAGCUAGUUGGUAAGGUAACGGCUUACCAAGGCAACGAUGGGGUAGGGGUACCGUGAGAGGGAGAUCCCCCACACUGGUACUGAGACACGGACCAGACUCCUACGGGAGGCAGCAGUGAGGAAUAUUGGACAAUGGCGCAAGCCUGAUCCAGCCAUGCCGCGUGCAGGAUGACGGUCCUAUGGA
rnacentral:rRNA from 1 species